AAAGCUGGGGGAGGCCUGGCGAUGACCAUAGGAGAGAUAGUAAAGAGCUUCCUGUUUGGACACGAAUGGUUUUCGACCGUGUUUCCUCAAAUCCCAGUACCAGUCCAGAAAAAGCUGAAGAAUAUGAUGGAAGAGAGGUUUCCUGCGAGGGCUUCUUCUGAAGGUCGUCAAACUCCUGAUGAAGAGGCUCACUUCAGCCAGGAUGUGUAGACAUCGUCAUCGAGACUGAACACAUUUUGAGGCCUCCUCAUUCCAGUUUAAGUUUGAUGAUUUUUGAAUCAAAUGUGAAUUUUUUCAAUUUUCAGUCGAC